CAAUAGCGUAUAUUAAAGUUGUUGCAGUUAAAAAGCUCGUAGUUGAAUUUCGGGUCCCCGCGCUCGGCGCUUCAUUGUGCCGUCGUGGUGUCCCUCCUCGCCGUAAGGCGUCCUUUACUGUGAAAAAAUUAGAGUGCUCAAAGCAGGCAAUCGCUUGAAUACAUUAGCAUGGAAUAAUAAGAUAGGAUCUUGUCUAUUUUGUUGGUUGCGGACAACGAUAAUGAUUAAUAGGGAUAGUUGGGGGUGUCCGUAUUGAGCUGUCAGAGGUGAAAUUCUUGGAUUUGCUCAAGACGAACUACUGCGAAAGCAUUCACCAAGGAUGUUUUCAUUAA
rnacentral:rRNA from 1 species